UUAGACGAUAAGAGGAACCAAAAAAAUUAAUUUACGAUAUAAUAGAAAAAUCUUAACCUACUAUCUCUGUCUACUAUAAUUAGUAAUAAUUAUUGGAUAGGGUGCAUCCGUAGAUGCUAGGAUAAGUUGACAUUUAUACCCUACCCCUUCGGGGGGUGGUGUAGUGUUCUGAAUUUUAUUACUAUCGAUUAUUAUUCCCUUGAUCAUUUAUUAUUUAAUAAUUAGUGUUACGGAUGUUAAACUCAGUUAAUAUAACUUUUUAGGACAUUAUAUUAGCUUAUUAAUAUCUUUUUAUAGAUAAAAUUGAAGAAAUUUAUUUUUAUUUGUAAAGCACAAAGUUUUAAAUUAAUAAUUGAUUAUUACAGUAAUAAAGUCAGCCAUGAUAAAUUAUAAUAGUUUGGUGUCACAGAAUCGGAGGCCUCGACUGUUUACUAAAAACACAAGAAUGUGCAAUGAUAAAAGUCAUAGUAUACGUUCUGAAAUUUGCUCGAUGCCAUUAAUAUAAAAGAGGUAAUAGGUAACUGUUACUAAUUGAAAAUCUGGUUAAUAGCGGUCUUAACUAUGAGGAUCCUAAGGUAGCGAAAUAAAUUGGCCAUUAAAUGUGGUCCGGUAUCAAUAAUGUAACGAAGGUCUCACUGUCUCUACAACUUGCUCAGUGAAAUUGAAUUACCCGUGCAGAUGCGGGUUACCCCCAGUGGGACGGGAA
rnacentral:rRNA from 1 species